GGGACAGCAGCCCCCAGCUGCCCAUCUAAACAAGGCAUUAGAUAUUAAUGUGUUAUUUUAAUUUGUGGAAAUGGAAAAAGUUUGAAUUUUAAAAAAAAAUGUAUUACUCCUAUUUUUGGGAGGGGAGGAUUGAAUGUCCUUCGCCUGCCCUCUAUGAAUCCCGCAUACGAAGCUUGGCGACCAUCACGUCUAGGACUACUAUAGGGGCUACAGCCUUUUGGCACUAUAAUACCUGAACGAAAGUUGCAUAAGACUGAAUGAGAAUGUCUGAGAACUGAUCAGUUGUGUACUUCUCGUAGAGCAGAGGAUUGAUAUAGUAGUUCUGAACAAAGUCGCUACUCCCCGAACUGAUGAAGUAGAUUGAACCAGAGAUAAUGGACGAAGCAUUGGCCUUCCCAGCAAUUCCCACCAAUUUCUUCUGGCACUCCUUGUAGUAUUCCAGCUGCUUACUCAAUGGUAUGGUAUGCUACACCACCAAAAUCCACAAAUCAUGGCAUCGACAAGAACAUGAUAUUCGUAUAUACCAAUUUGGAUAAGUUACGGUAUUAGCAACAUGCACUGUCAUUUCCAUUUGAAAUGUAGUCCUCUGGUCAUACUCCGGAGAUUAUUAAAUGGAAAGGCAAAAAAAAAAAACUGACUCUACGACGGCCGAAGUGGAACAAAGGUGAAAAGGUAGCAUCUGUUGGUGUAAUUUAGUACUGUACUUUUUUCGGGAUGAAGUUGUGAACAAUCUGAAAUGCCCUCAAAAUUUUGUCA